rnacentral:tRNA from 1 species
GCCAAAGUGGUGUAGUGGUUUGAGCAUUGGACUACGACUCUGGAGACCAGAGUUCAAAUCCCUGUUCGGCA